AUGGUCACACUCACACUCUUCUUUUCUUCUUUUUU
rnacentral:sRNA from 1 species